UUACAAUGUUGUUAAGACCUGAA
rnacentral:misc_RNA from 1 species